AUUUGUUACAAUAGCCACAGGAAAAAACAAACAAACAAACCCCAUUUAUCAAUGGUUGAGUUUACCUUUGCUGAGUUUGUGAUACCUUUUUGCAAGCCUCUGGAGACUUACAUUUGUCUUUCCUUCCUGGAAAAGGCAGCCAUGACUCCCAUUGUAAUGUGGGCUGUUGCGUCAGUAGGGGGAUCAAGACGAGGCCCGUCUCUUUCUCCAGCUGAAUCUGACCCACCAAACAAGAUGGUUAACUCAGGACUCCAGGUCCAAAACCAAGCAAUGCUGAUCACUUCCAAAGUCUUCUGGAGAUAUCUGGUUGAUGAUUUUCGGAUCCAUAAAAUGGUUUCUUUUCUCUUUGUGGGGGGCAGUUCCUAAAACUGAGAGCUUUCCUUCCUGGCAAUACUAAAAGCUAAUUUUUAUUCUUUUG
rnacentral:lncRNA from 1 species